rnacentral:rRNA from 1 species
UGGGAAUUUGGACAAUGGGCGAAAGCCUGAUCCAGCAAUGCCGCGUGUGUGAAGAAGGCCUUCGGGUUGUAAAGCACUUUUGUCCGGAAAGAAAUCCUUGGCUCUAAUACAGUCGGGGGAUGACAGUACCGGAAGAAUAAGCACCGGCUAACUACGUGCCAGCAGCCGCGGUAAUACGUAGGGUGCAAGCGUUAAUCGGAAUUACUGGGCGUAAAGCGUGCGCAGGCGGUUUGCUAAGACCGAUGUGAAAUCCCCGGGCUCAACCUGGGAACUGCAUUGGUGACUGGCAGGCUAGAGUACGGCAGAGGGGGGUAGAAUUCCACGUGUAGCAGUGAAAUGCGUAGAGAUGUGGAGGAAUACCGAUGGCGAAGGCGAGCCCCUGGCCAAUACUGACGCUCAUGCACGAAAGCGUGGGGAGCAAACAGGAUUAGAUACCCUGGUAGUCCACGCCCUAAAACGAUGUCAACUAGUUGUUGGGGAUUCAUUUCCUUAGUAACGUAGCUAA